CCUACGGGUGGCAGCAGUGAGGAAUAUUGGUCAAUGGUCGGGAGACUGAACCAGCCAAGCCGCGUGAGGGAUGAAGGUACAGAGUAUCGUAAACCUCUGUUGUCAGGGAACAAAGGCGGGGACGCGUCCCCGGAUGAGUGUACCUGAAGAAAAAGAAUCGGGUAAUUCGGUGCCAGCAGCCGCGGUAAUAGGGAGGAUGCGAGCGUUAUCCGGAUUUAGUGGGUUGAAGGGGUGCGCAGGCGGUCUGUUAAGUCAGCGGUCAAAGCCGGGGGCUCAACCUCGGCCCGCCGUUGAAACUGGCAGUCUCGAGUUGGAGAGAAGUAUGCGGAAGGCGCGGUGUAGCGGUGAAAUGCAUAGAUAUCGCGCAGAACUCCGAUUGCGAAGGCAGCAUGCCGGCUCCACACUGACGCUGAGGCACGAAAGCGUGGGUAUCGAACAGGAUUAGAUACCCUUGUAGUC
rnacentral:rRNA from 1 species